rnacentral:rRNA from 1 species
CCUACGGGGGGCAGCAGUGGGGAAUAUUGCGCAAUGGGCGAAAGCCUGACGCAGCGACGCCGCGUGAGGGAUGAAGGUCUGCUGAGCGUAAACCUCGGUCAGCAGGGAAGAACGGUAACGGGGCUAAUCAGCAGUGAAUGGACGGUACCGGCAAAGGAAGCACAGGCUAACUCCGUGCCAGCAGCCGCGGUAAUACGGAGGGUGCGAGCGUUAAUCGGAAUUACUGGGCGUAAAGCGCUCGUAGGCGGUAUGUCAAGUCAAGGGUGAAAUCCCCGCGCGCAACGUGGGAACUGCCUUUGAAACUUGCAACCUGGAUUGUGUGAGAGGUUAGUGGCAUUCCAGGUGUAGGCG